rnacentral:rRNA from 1 species
UAGCAUACAAGCUAACUUAACCAAUAUUUUCUAAUCUUGGAAGCUAAGCAGCUUGUGCCUGGUUAGUCUUUGGAUGGGAGACUGGAAAUAUCAGCUCCUAU